GUAGGGAAUAUUGGGCAAUGGAUGCAAGUCUGACCCAGCCAUGCCGCGUGGAGGAAGAAGGUCCUCUGGAUUGUAAACUCCUUUUUUGGGGGAAGAAUAGUUCUCUUGCGAGGGAAUGUGACGGUACCCUAAGAAUAAGCAACGGCUAACUACGUGCCAGCAGCCGCGGUAAUACGUAGGUGGCAAGCGUUGUCCGGAUUUAUUGGGUUUAAAGGGUGCGUAGGUGGUUUGAUAAGUCAGUGGUGAAAGCUGGUUGCUCAACAAUCAAGUUGCCAGUGAUACUGUCGGACUUGAGAGAAGUGGAGGUUCAUGGAAUGGAUGGUGUAGCGGUGAAAUGCAUAGAUAUCAUCCAGAACGUCGAUUGCGAAGGCAGUGGGCUGUACUUUAACUGACACUGAGGCACGAAAGUGUGGGGAUCAAACAGGAUUAGAAACCCCUGUAGUCC
rnacentral:rRNA from 1 species